AACGAACGCUGGCGGCAUGCCUAACACAUGCAAGUCGAACGAGACCUUCGGGUCUAGUGGCGCACGGGUGCGUAACGCGUGGGAACCUGCCCUUAGGUUCGGAAUAACUCCCCGAAAGGGGUGCUAAUAACGGAUAAUGUCUUCGGACCAAAUAUUUAUCGCCUUUGGAUGGGCCCGCGUUGGAUUAGCUAGUUGGUAGGGUAAAAGCCUACCAAGGCGACGAUCCAUAGCUGGUCUGAGAGGAUGAUCAGCCACACUGGGGCUGAGACACGGCCCAGACUCCUACGGGAGGCAGCAGUGGGGAAUAUUGGACAAUGGGCGGAAGCCUGAUGCAGCAAUGCCGCGUGAGUGAUGAAGGCCUUAGGGUUGUAAAGCUCUUUUACCCGGGAUGAUAAUGACAGUACCGGGAGAAUAAGCUCCGGCUAACUCCGUG
rnacentral:rRNA from 1 species